AUACGUAGGGUGCAAGCGUUAAUCGGAAUUACUGGGCGUAAAGCGUGCGCAGGCGGUUUUGUAAGACAGAGGUGAAAUCCCCGGGCUCAACCUGGGAACUGCCUUUGUGACUGCAAAGCUAGAGUACGGCAGAGGGGGGUGGAAUUCCGCGUGUAGCGGUGAAAUGCGUAGAUAUGCGGAGGAACACCGAUGGCGAAGGCAAUCCCCUGGGCCUGUACUGACGCUCAUGCACGAAAGCGUGGGGAGCAAACAGGAUUAGAUACCCUGGUAGUCCACGCCCUAAACGAUGUCAACUGGUUGUUGGGUCUUCAUUGACUCAGUAACGAAGCUAACGCGUGAAGUUGACCGCCUGGGGAGUACGGCCGCAAGGUUGAAACUCAAAUGAAUUGACGGGG
rnacentral:rRNA from 1 species